rnacentral:tRNA from 1 species
AGCGGGGUAGGGUAGCCAGGAAAUCCCGACGGGCUCAUAACCCGUAGAUCAGUAGUUCAAAUCUACUCCCCGCUA